CCCUAUUCCACCUGAUUAGUACUUGCAGAAGUGUGCCCUUUGGUUUCCAUUGGCUGGUCGAUUAUUGUUACAAUGUCCGUUGGUGUGUGACUGGCCUGUCCUAGGAUGCUGCUACUGGUCCAUCCGGUGCCACCGCAACUUCGGCAGCUGAGCAGCCACAACUGGCCAGUUUGAUGACAACGCAACUCGGCAGCUGCAUCAGGUCCUGAUCGAAACACACUGCAUGACUGUGAUCGCCUUGGAGGCCGGUGUUGUUGCGCUGCUAGUGCAGCAUGUCAGGGGGUACUGUUACGGAUCCAAUUUAACUUCUUGUCUGGUUGAUUAUUGUUACAAUGUCUGUUGGUGCAUGUGAGUACCUGUGCUGUGUGUUUUGGCUUUCGUGCCAUUGUGGAUUGCGUAGAUGAUUACGGGCUCAUCCCGUGUGUUAAACAUUGUGUUAUCUAUUCGAGGUACUCCUCGCUCUUUUUGUUUGGUUUUGUACCCUGUGUUUUGUGUUUGGUCUUCGUCCCCUUGCCUUUACACGGCAUGCCAUAAUUUGGGUUUAAUAAAAAAAAAAAAAAUUAUGCAUUCCUGCGCCUGA